GGAUGCUGUGUCUUUUGGGUGUCACGACCUAAUUUCAGGAGAUUCCUAAUACGGUUGCUUAUAUUUGGGUAUUUCCAGUAAUCCAGUUAUGCACGUUGCUAACCUGAAGCUGAUGUCUCCGUUGAAGUUGUAUGAGGCAGAACCAGGUGGAGCAGGGCUGGUCCCCACACAGCUGCAGGAAGUUUCCUUGGUGCUAGUGUGGAAUUCUUCACUAAAGAGACAAAAUCUGCCAUGUUCUUCUCAUGAACACAGCAACUGCACAAGGAAGACAGUGAGAACUAUUGCUCCUUCAUUAAGAUUGCUAUGAUGACAGUGCUAGGAGGCCCCAGCUGAGUUCAGAAUCCCAUCGUGCCAGACGUUGUGCUAUUGUAGAAUAAAAAGCAUGCAACUGAGAAGCA
rnacentral:lncRNA from 1 species